AGAUGUUAAAAGCAAGAGACAUGGGAGAGCAUCAUUCCUUUGAGAUUUUAUAACUCAAACCAACUUUGGAGUUGUCUGAUUUGGAGAGUCAUCAUUCUUGGUCUUCGCUCUUAGAGGCCACUGAUGAAGAACAGGCGGUGACUGGGAUGAAUGCUGGUCAGAGAGGAGAAUCUUCUUUCCCCUAAACAGCGGUGGUUUUAAAGGAGGACGCUGCCCUGGAUGAUGUAGAAGAUGUCACAUGCUGUGCUGAUGGGGUUUCUUCAUGAUUACAUCAGUUAUGCUAAAGAGAUCAUGAAAAUUGACUGUGAUGCAUGAUCUGUAUUCAUGGACUAUGAAACAAACUGUAAGUGCAUAAUUUGUUAAAAAAAAAAAAAGUUAAAUGCUUUUUCUGUGUUGUUUAGUAGAAGAGUUUACACUGUCAUUCAUACACCUGCUCACAUUCUUUCACACACACACACACACACACGCGUCUGUUAAAUGUUAUAAUAUCAAAGUUAAUGUUGUGAUUUAUUUGUGUACUGUCAUGCCAGAAUAGUUGGAAAAAAACCUAACUAAUUGUAAAUUUAUUGUAUGUGUUUUCGUAUAUUUUUAUACAAUAUAUACAAUUAAACAAAGUCCAAUUUGAUCUUAAGUUAUAUUCAUCAAAUGUUCAAUGCUUUGUUUAUGAACUCUGUAGCUGUUAAUGCCAUCCUUUUCUGCAUUUCUUCUAACAUGUUACUUUUUGACUUUUCUCUUGUUUUUAAUAAAUAUUUUCCUUUUGGUAAUUAUUA